rnacentral:lncRNA from 1 species
GAUAACUCCAGAUCCCGUUCCGGCCUUUUCUCCGCCUUGCUCCGUCGUCUUGCGGUGUAGCUGCUGGAUGGGUGCCUGCAAAACAACGCCGGAGGGGGGUUUGGACCCCGAGGCGCCUCCGGCGUGAGAGUAAGAGCGGGCUUGAAAGUAGUCGGACGGAAAAUGAGCUAUCUAUCAAUGUAGAGGGUGUGUGUAUGGUGGUUGCUUGAGUGGUUGUGUUUGCUGAAUAUAUUCAACAUAUAUAUUAAACCCCCCUCCGGCGUUGUUUUGCAGGCACCCAUCCAGCAGCUACACCGCAAGACGACGGAGCAAGGCGGAGAAAAGGCCGGA